rnacentral:misc_RNA from 1 species
GUGAAGAACGCAGCGAAAUGCGAUAAGUAAUGUGAAUUGCAGAAUUCAGUGAAUCAUCGAAUCUUUGAACGCACAUUGCGCCCGCCAGCACUCUGGCGGGCAUGCCUGUCCGAGCGUCAUUUCAACCCUCAGGCCCCCCGGGGACUGGUGUUGGGGAUCGGCCCGCCCUGGCGCGGCGCCGUCCCCGAAAUACAGUGGCGGUCUCGCUGCAGCCUCCCCUGCGUAGUAGCACACCUCGCAUUGGAGAGCGGCGCGGCCACGCCGUGAAACCCCAACUUCUGAUAGUUGACCUCGGAUCAGGUAGGAAUACCCGCUGAACUUAAGCAUAUCAAUAAGCGGAGGA